CAAAAUAAGUGCUGCCAUAAUAUUGUGCUUGCUUGUCUGGCUGACUUCUUCUCACUUUCCAUUGUAGAUGUUUACUGGUGGUGAUAAUCUCACAAAGAAGAACCAGACUGAGCCCUGAAUCUGAGGCUGCUCCUUUUAUCUGGAGUCAAUAAGCCUUGUUUGAAAGCCCAGUGGAUCAAUGAUUAUAAAGACACCAAGUGAAAGGUACCUGAUUGAACCCUCUGGAGACCAAGAAUGGAGUGAGAGAUCCACUUCAUCCUUACAACAGACACCAAGUGACCUGACUGAACCCUCUGGAGACCAUGAAUGGAGUGAUAGAUCCACUUCAUUCUUACAACAGACAUCAAGUGACAGGUACCUGACUGAACCCUCUGGAAACCAAGAAUGGAGUGAGAGAUCCACUUCAUCCUUACAACAGGUUACUACUUCUUAUCAUGAUAUACUAGGUUUGAGUUUUCAGCUUUCUUUGACAAACCAAGGAGAAGUUAUAAAUCAGAAACAUGGACUCUCCAUGAUUUCAGUCGUCAUGUCCUCAUAUUUCUUUAGACCUGAAAAACCUGAGUGUGUUUCAGGUGACAUGACUUUUGUCUUAACUUAACUCUGGAGAGCCUGUGUUCGAAUGUCCCCAUAUUGCUGUUACUCAGAGCUGAACAGUGUUAACUUUCUAUAGUGUGGUACAUUAUUCCCAAAUUCUCCUGUGAGCAAUGUUCAAUGAGAAAUAAUGUUUUUUUCAUUUCUUAACUGGUCAGAAUGAAGAAUGCU